GGCUAGAGUACAGAAGUUAGUCACCGUGGUUCCUAGCCUUUUCGUUUUUUAAUUCAAGUUCCGGUUUAUAUAUAUACCACAAGUGGCGAAAACUCUGCUCUUGUGAGUUUUCCUUCUUUAUAAAAGCGUCCAACAGGCGCUUUUUUGUUUGGACCUAGAAUCCGUGGAUCUAGACAUCCGC